GCAUGACAGACAAGAUGUCUCAGGCUUGCGCCAUUCUUGGAGUUGUGUGUUUCUGCUGUAAGUAGGAGAGACACCGGAAGUAAACUACAAGAAUAAUAUUGGCAUAAAAGAAAACACUGGGGAGUCCGGCUCAUUACCAUUGGUCGGGCCUAUAGAAUGUCGAUUUCCAGGCUCGAUUACAUAAGUGUGUUAACUCUGCUCACGCUCUAUACUUUCAUUGUUAAGUUGAUGAUAAUGGCUCGUAUGUCGGCAUCCGCGCGUGGGGCUUGUUGCGGGUUACUUCAUUGGCCACAUGCGGCUACGUGUGUACAUCGUUCACGGGCUCUGCGGCCACAUGGUUGUUUGAAGGGCAGUUGAGCCGGUUGUGCGGAGGCCCGUUCAGCUGGUUGUGCGGUCCCAUUCAGCCCGUCGGGCUCCAGCUUGCCGUGCGGGCGCCCGUUCGGCCGAUGGGUCUCCUAGCCGGCUGUCUAAAGAGCCGCUCAUACAAAUGUUUAUCCCUUUUUAUGCACCUUUUUGAUUGUGUGGUAGUUUUUUUUUAUUAUGGUGAUCUCUCAUUGAAAAUAUCAAGUAGUGUUCUCCGAAGUGUAGGGUCUUCUAUAACAGGUAUCUUUUCAGGGUACGACAUGUACACAUAAGUAGGAACGAUCACUAGGGUGUAAAGCGGGUAAAGGUCAGACCUCAUGGACAAAUAAAAACAAGGUAUGAACAUAAUUAUUCACUCUAAACCAUUUUUGUAGGCUGAACAAUUUGUUGCUUUGCGAUUACGACCUGAUCUCUUUUGCGCCGGUUUCCAAAGAGACUAAGGCGGUUCGUUCAUUUAAUUUUCAUUUUAUGUUUCAAAUAGUUCAUUCAACUUCUAAAUUGUAGUUGGUCAGUUGGUCCCUUAAAAUAGUUCACUUGACUUCCCUUUUAUUUCCCUUUUAUAUUUCAUAUAGCGAAGGAAGUUGUGGGGUCUCUGGGUCAUCUACUUACUGUAAAUCACUGCUCAAGAAAUCUUUCGAUUCA
rnacentral:lncRNA from 1 species